CACGUAGUUAGCCGGGGCUUCUUAGUCAGGUACCGUCAUUUUCUUCCCUGCUGAUAGAGCUUUACGUACCGAGAUACUUCUUCACUCACGCGGCGUCGCUGCAUCAGGGUUUCCCCCAUUGUGCAAUAUUCCCCACUGCUGCCUCCCGUAGGAGUUUGGGCCGUGUCUCAGUCCCAAUGUGGCCGUUCACCCUCUCAGGCCGGCUACUGAUCGUCGCUUUGGUGGGCCGUUACCCCGCCAACUGGCUAAUCAGACGCGGAUCCAUCGUAUACCACCGGAGUUUUUCACACUGUUCCAUGCGGAACCGUGCGCUUAUGCGGUAUUAGCACCUAUUUCUAAGUGUUAUCCCCCUGUAUACGGCAGGUUAUCCACGCGUUACUCACCCGUCCGCCACUAAUCCAUACAUCACUAGGUUUCAAUAUGGAUCCGUUCGACUUGCAUGUGUUAGGCACGCCGCCAGCGUUCAUCCUGAGCCAGGAUCAAACUCU
rnacentral:rRNA from 1 species